rnacentral:rRNA from 1 species
GAGACUCUGUGCGCGUGCAUAUCAAUAAGCGGAGGAAAAGAAACUAACAAGGAUUCCCUUAGUAACGGCGAGUGAAGCGGGAAGAGCUCAAAUUUGAAAUCUUCAAGGUUUUACCUUGACGAAUUGUAGUUUAUAGAAGUGUUUUCUGUAGUGGAGUUUGGUAAAAGUUCUUUGGAAUAGGACAUCAUAGAGGGUGAGAAUCCCGUAUUUGACCAUUAUUUCCAGCUGUGUGAUACACUUUCAAAGAGUCGGAUUGUUUGGGAAUGCAGUCCAAAAUGGGUGGUAAAUUUCAUCUAAAGCUAAAUAUUGGCGAGAGACAGAUAGCGAACAAGUACCGUGAGGGAAAGAUGAAAAGAACUUCGAAAAGAGAGUUAAACAGUACGUGAAAUUGUCAAAAGGGAAGCGUUUGACACCAGUGUUGUUUUUCCGAAAAUCAAUUACGAAUGUUUUGUUUUUGAGGAGUUAUGACUUCAUCGGCUUGCUCCUUUCUUUAUGAAACUUUCUUAAUGCACUUUUCGGUUAACAAGUCAACAUCAAUUUCUUUUGUUGUAAAAGGGUAUGAGGAAGGUGGCUUUCUUUUCGGAGAAAGUGUUUAUAGCCUUGUACCUCUGCAAUCGGAGAGAUUGAGGUCUGCAGCGUAGAUCCUUCGGGGUUAGAUACAUUUGUGCUAAGUUAUAGCUUUUCAUAGACAACUUGUUGACUAUGUUUAGUCUUGUAGCUUACUCGCUUAUGCUAUUUUACCUACGCUUAGGAUGUUGAAGUCAUCGUAUCGCGC